AACAUCGCGCACCUGCGGGAACCUGCGGAGGGAUCAUUACACAAUACAAUAUGAAGGCUGUCCGCAGCUGGAGUAUUUUAUUACCCUUGUCUUUUGCGCACUUGUUGUUUCCUGGGCGGGUUCGCUCGCCACCAGGACCACCAAAUAAACCUUUUCUAUGCAGUUGCAAUCAGCGUCAGUACAAACAAUGUAAAUCAUUUACAACUUUCAACAAUGGAUCU
rnacentral:misc_RNA from 1 species